rnacentral:rRNA from 1 species
UACGGGGGGAGCAAGCGUUGUUCGGAUUUACUGGGCGUAAAGGGCGCGUAGGCGGCCAGUGCAAGUCAGUUGUGAAAUCUCCGAGCUUAACUCGGAAAGGUCAACUGAUACUGCUCGGCUAGAGUGCGGAAGGGGCAACUGGAAUUCUUGGUGUAGCGGUGAAAUGCGCAGAUAUCAGGAGGAACACCGGUGGCGAAGGCGGGUCUCUGGGCCGUAACUGACGCUGAGGAGCGAAAGCAUGGGUAGCGAACAGG